rnacentral:rRNA from 1 species
UCUGGUUGAUCCUGCCAGUAUAUGUUUGUCUCAAAGAUUAAGCCAUGUGUCUAAGUACACACGAAUUAACAGUGAAACCGCAAAAGGCUCAUUAUAUCAGUUAUGGUUCCUUAGAUCGUUAACAGUUACUUGGAUAACUGUGGUAAUUCUAGAGCUACAUGCAAUUAAAACACGGACCUUUUGGAACGUGUGCUUUUAUUAGGCUAAAACCAAGCGAUCGCAAGAUCGACGACAGAUCUUUCAAAUGUCUGCCCUAUUAACUAUUGAUGGUAGUAUCAAGGACUACCAUGGUUGCAACGGGUAACGGGGAAUUAGGAUUCCGGAGAGGCAGCCUGAGAAACGGCUACCACAUCUAAGGAAGGCAGUAGGCGCGUAAAUUACCCACUCCCAGCUCGGGGAGGUAGUGACGAAAAUAAUACAGGAGUACUAUACCUUUAUGUAUAUAAGCGUAUAACCGGUGGAGUUCUUAUAUUUAAUUAAAUACUUGUAUUUGUUAUGUAUUCCUCCUAAUUAAAAACCAUUAGUGCUCUUCAUCGAAUGAUAUUGUGGACCGGUACAAUUACUUUGAACAAAUUAAAGGGCUUAAAGCAGGCUUCAAAUGCCUGAAUAUUCUGUGCAUGGGAUGAUGAAAUAAGACCUCUGUUCUGCUUUCAUUGGUUUUCCAGAUCGAGAGGUAAGGAUGGUAAGGACGCGAGAGGUGAAAUUCUUGGACCGUCGUAGGACUAACUUAAGCGAAAGCAUUCGCCAAAGGUGUUUUCAUUUAUCAAACACGAAGGUUAGAGGUUCGAAGGCGAUCAGAUACCGCCCCAGUUCUGACCAUAAACGAUGCCAGCUAGCAAUUGGGUGUAGCUACUUUUAUGGCUCUCUAAGUCGCUUCCCGGGAAACCAAAGCUUUUUGGCUUCGGGGGAAGUAUGGUUGCAAAGCUAAAACUAAAAGGAAGGGCCCCUCCAGGAGUCAUGCCUGCAGCUUAAUUUGACUCAACAUAGGAAAACUUACCAGGUCCGAACAUAAGUGUGUAAGACAGAUUGAUAGCUCUUUCUCAAAUCUAUGGGUGGUGGUCCAUGGCCGUUCUUAGUUCGUGGAUUGAUUUGUCUGGUUAAUUCCGAUAACGAACGAGACUCAAAUAUAUUAAAUAGAUAUCUUCAGGAUUAUGGUGUUGUGGUAUAGCCUUCAUAGUGGCAGUAAAAUGUUGAUUGUGUUUGAAUGUGUUUAUAUAAGUGGAGCAGUACCUGUUGGUUUGUUCCAUUAUAAGGACACUAGCUUAUGAGAUUGAGCAAUAACAGGUUUGUGAUGCCCUUAGAUGUCCUGGGCUGCAAGCGCGCUACAAUGAAAGUAUCACGUGUAUUUCCGAGACCGGUCCGGGUAAUCCGCUGAACCACUUUCAUGCUUGGGAUUGUGAACUGAAACUGUUCACAUGAACUUGGAAUUCCCAGUAAGUGUGAGUCAUUAACUCGCAUUAAUUACGUCCCUGCCCUUUGUACAGACCGCCCGUCGCUACUACCGAUUGAAAUAUAAGUGAGGUCUCCGGUGUGUUGCGGUUGUUUCGCAAAAGUUGACCGAACUUAAUUAUUUAGAGGAAGUAAAAGUCGUAACAAGAUUUCCGUAGGUGAACCUGUGAAGG